CCUACGGGUGGCUGCAGUGGGGAAUAUUGGACAAUGGGGGCAACCCUGAUCCAGCCAUGCCGCGUGUGUGAAGAAGGCCCUCGGGUUGUAAAGCACUUUCAGCGAGGAAGAACGCCUGGUGGUUAAUACCCAUCAGGAAAGACAUCACUCACAGAAGAAGCACCGGCUAACUCCGUGCCAGCAGCCGCGGUAAUACGGAGGGUGCGAGCGUUAAUCGGAAUUACUGGGCGUAAAGCGCGCGUAGGUGGCUUGAUAAGCCGGUUGUGAAAGCCCCGGGCUCAACCUGGGAACGGCAUCCGGAACUGUCAAGCUAGAGUGCAGGAGAGGAAGGUAGAAUUCCCGGUGUAGCGGUGAAAUGCGUAGAGAUCGGGAGGAAUACCAGUGGCGAAGGCGGCCUUCUGGACUGACACUGACACUGAGGUGCGAAAGCGUGGGUAGCAAACAGGAUUAGAUACCCCUGUAGUC
rnacentral:rRNA from 1 species